GGGCUUGUACUGGUUUCGACGGGGGUUUAGAAGUUCUGGAAGCCAUCCGUAGUGGGACACUACGUUAAAAGUUCUAUUUAAAUUUAAACGCAGAUAAUAAUUUAGCGUACGCUGCCUAAUUUGGCAGCAGUCGGCCUCGGGUCAUCCGCUGCCUGAAUCACCGGCUUCAACGAGGCGGAGCACUUCGUUCCCAAAGCUUUGAGGGAAUGGAAGACUUUAUGAAGCUACUGAAGUUUUCAGCCUGUCAUUAGGCGGGAGACGGAGGGAAUGUCAGUAUAAUGACUGUGAUGGGAGAUGCCGGAAUGGAAGGGCUUUCGGACGCGGGUUCGAUUCCCGCCAGGUCCACUA
rnacentral:tmRNA from 1 species